rnacentral:rRNA from 3 species
UACGGAGGGUGCAAACGUUGCUCGGAAUCAUUGGGCGUAAAGCGCACGUAGGCGGACUGUUAAGUCGGAUGUGAAAGCCCUCGGCUUAACCGAGGAAGUGCAUUCGAAACUGGCAGUCUUGAGUACAGAAGAGGGUCGCGGAAUUCCCGGUGUAGAGGUGAAAUUCGUAGAUAUCGGGAGGAACACCAGUGGCGAAGGCGGCGACCUGGGCUGAUACUGACGCUGAGGUGCGAAAGCGUGGGGAGCAAACAGG